AUCGAAGGAGUAGCACGCAGCAGGUGAGCGGAGAGGGCAGCACCGAGCAGGGAGCUGCGUACGGCUUCGAGGGACCCGGUAAGGUGCAGUAUCAGGCCGUGAAGCUGGAAGCGGCGAAGGUUCACUCAGGACCUGCCUCCGCCGUUCCCAAGCAACCCGCACCAGCACCCAGACGCCACGCCUACUAAGCAACGAACCGAUGGCAGCGACAGCGAUGACGACAACGAUGACGAUUAGCAAAGAAACGAGUAAAACGAAGGACAUUAUUCGGUGAAAUUAUAUCUUUAUCUCAUAAAGUUCAAUGAUGCGAUAAACUCUAAGAUGAUUGGAAAAUUAAAAUUGUAUUAUUAUCUAUGUGUCCAAAACGAAACUGAAAACGAAAGACGAAAGAUAUAAUUUAGGCAAAUGUUCAUAAUGAAAAAAGAAUGCAUGAAAGACGUUCUAAACACUGAUGUGUCCUUCUGGUGAUAAGCAACUGUGUCAUUUUCAAAGGCCAUUGUGUUUUAGAUUUUAUAUGUGUAACCUAAAUAAAUGCAACUUGAAAUCAACAAAAU